AAUGUCGUAGUGUUCGAUUGACAGGGACCCGGGAAAGAGAUAAGGGAUUCGCGGUUUUAUUCCCGGCGUGUGAAUUCGACGAUUCGAUGGUCCAUCUGUCGUUUAAUGCGUGUGAACGAUGAUAAGCCGCUUCGAGGAAAUGAAUAUUGGAGUCAUGAAUAUGGAAAGGCGUUUUAAUUACGAGGGGAGACAAAAUGUACUCUCUUACCUGAUAGCAAUAGAAGAAGAAGAAAACGGAGGAAACUGGAAAAAGACAAGCUCGAAGUUGGAGAAAAAGGAGGGUAGGAGGAGGCUGGACAGUGAUUUCGUCCAUCUCGAUAGACGGAGAAAACGGCAGGUGUUCGUUGCGGAGCAGCUGCAAUCACGACCACCAUCUGCCGCAGUAAUGCACGCCUCUUCCAAGUCUUCCAGUCUUGGAGAAGCGAGACUCGUUGCCUGAGGCAUCCAUCCUCAAUUAGACGCCACCUGAAACACGUGCCCUUCUCGAAUCCAUGGAUUUCGAUGGCUUCUUUCUUCUCCACCCUUAUCUCCUUCUUUUUCUCAUUCCUCUUCUUGCUCGACUUCGCUCCUCUUUACCGGUUCUCUGCUUCGUAUCUCCACGUUCCAAGGCUUCCUUCCUUUUUUCGACGCCACGCGUCAUUAUCUUUCGCUUCCUGGUAUAGUGUCGAUGUCAUCGAUCACCGAUCCCCGUUUUUCGCGGCGACAGUUGGCAAGCACCAGGCUUUGCGUAAGCGUAAAAACAGCUCUGACACGUGCUGUCGUUGAAAAUGUGAAUCCGAAUAAGAGAUCCUGGAUAUCAUGUUACCGCUCGAUGAUUAUCUGGUCCGCAAGCUAACCUUUCGAAAUAAAGUUGCUAAUUUUCUAAGAUCAA